rnacentral:rRNA from 1 species
UCGAUUAGAGUUUGAUUAUGGCUCAGAGCGAACGCUGGCGGCAGGCUUAACACAUGCAAGUCGAGCGGGCGUAGCAAUACGUCAGCGGCAGACGGGUGAGUAACGCGUGGGAACAUACCUUUUGGUUCGGAACAACACAGGGAAACUUGUGCUAAUACCGGAUAAGCCCUUACGGGGAAAGAUUUAUCGCCGAAAGAUUGGCCCGCGUCUGAUUAGCUAGUUGGUGAGGUAAUGGCUCACCAAGGCGACGAUCAGUAGCUGGUCUGAGAGGAUGAUCAGCCACAUUGGGACUGAGACACGGCCCAAACUCCUACGGGAGGCAGCAGUGGGGAAUAUUGGACAAUGGGCGCAAGCCUGAUCCAGCCAUGCCGCGUGAGUGAUGAAGGCCUUAGGGUUGUAAAGCUCUUUCGCCAGGGACGAUAAUGACGGUACCUGGAUAAGAAGCCCCGGCUAACUUCGUGCCAGCAGCCGCGGUAAUACGAAGGGGGCUAGCGUUGUUCGGAUUUACUGGGCGUAAAGCGCACGUAGGCGGAUCUUUAAGUCAGGGGUGAAAUCCCGAGGCUCAACCUCGGAACUGCCUUUGAUACUGGAGGUCUCGAGUCCGGGAGAGGUGAGUGGAACUGCGAGUGUAGAGGUGAAAUUCGUAGAUAUUCGCAAGAACACCAGUGGCGNNNNCGGCUCACUGGCCCGGUACUGACGCUGAGGUGCGAAAGCGU